rnacentral:rRNA from 1 species
CUUGAUUAAACCAUAAGAGGUCCAGCCUGCCCAGUGACAUUGUUCAACGGCCGCGGUAUCCUAACCGUGCGAAGGUAGCGUAAUCACUUGUCCUUUAAAUGAAGACUAGUAUGAAUGGCCCCACGAAAGCUAUACUGUCUCCUUUUUCUAAUCAGUUAAACUAAUCUCCCCGUGAAGAAGCGGGGAUAAACAUAUAAGACGAGAAGACCCUAUGGAGCUUUAAACAACUGAAACACUUGUAUAUCUCCCUUCACCUACCCACAUUUAACUCCACAUCUUGUUUCUAGUUUUAGGUUGGGGUGACCACGGAGAAAAAACUAACCUCCACGAUGAAAGAGACAUCUCUAAACAAAAAGCUACAUCUUUAUGUAUUAAUACAUUAACCUUUAUUGACCCA